rnacentral:sRNA from 1 species
GGCCAGCCUUGCCCUCACAGCCCCUCAGAGCAGCCCGUCAGGAGGCAGCAGAUGGAUCAAUGGUCAAGUCGGGGGGGAUUUGCUCUGCCACAGGCUACUGGAAAGCAGCUUUUUGCCUCACAGACGUCCACAAAAUGCCUUAUUUUACAAGACUCAUUUUGUUCUUGUUUUGCUUGAUGGUUCUCGUGGAGAGCAGAAAGCCCAAGAGGAAGCGAUGGACAGGGCAGGUGGAAAUGCCCAAGCCAAGUCACUUAUAUAAGAAGAACCUUGAUGUGACCAAGAUCCGGAAGGGAAAGCCUCAGCAGCUUCUCAGAGUGGACGAGCACGACUUCAGCAUGAGGCCCGCCUUUGGAGGCCCUGCCAUCCCGGUGGGCGUGGACGUGCAGGUGGAGAGCCUGGACAGCAUCUCCGAGGUGGACAUGCUGAGCCCAGUUCCAGAACCAGCUGUGUCUAGAACAGCCUGGCUGCCCUAGACUGAAUCAACCCAGAUGUCUGUGCUGAGUGUGAAGACUUUUGUCCUGUGUGGCUCAGGAUCGCAGG